rnacentral:rRNA from 1 species
GGAGGAAAGCAGGGGAUCGCAAGACCUUGCGCUCAUUGAGCGGCCGAUGCCUGAUUAGCUAGUUGGUGAGGUAAAGGCUUACCAAGGCGACGAUCAGUAGCUGGUCUGAGAGGACGACCAGCCACACUGGGACUGAGACACGGCCCAGACUCCUACGGGAGGCAGCAGUGGGGAAUUUUGGACAAUGGGGGAAACCCUGAUCCAGCCAUGCCGCGUGAGUGAAGAAGGCCUUCGGGUUGUAAAGCUCUUUCAGCCGGAACGAAACGGUCACGGCUAAUACCUGUGACUACUGACGGUACCGGAAGAAGAAGCACCGGCUAACUACGUGCCAGCAGCCGCGGUAAUACGUAGGGUGCGAGCGUUAAUCGGAAUUACUGGGCGUAAAGCGUGCGCAGGCGGUUUUGUAAGUCAGAAGAGAAAUCCCCGGGCUUAACCUGGGAACUGCGUUGAAAAUAGAAAGCUAGAAGGGC